rnacentral:lncRNA from 1 species
AUGGGCUGCUGACAGGUGCUGCUGGAGGCUGAGAGAUGGAAAAUCAAGGAUGCCCUGACAUGGUCUGUCACUAGCUUGAAGAGAAGAAAGCAGGAUCCAAUCUUUUGUUAUUUACUGAUGUCACUGCAGCCUGGGAGAGAAAUCAACACAGUCAUGAAUUAUGGCCCAUGCUCGUCUUUUCCAUCCCACCUAACACCUUCUGCUGCUGAGCACCUGAGGGAUAAGGAAAGCAGCAUCCUGGCCUGUGGGCGUGUGUUUCUGAGUUGGGAGAGGCAUGAGGGCACAGACUGGCAGGACAUAACAAGUACCUUCUCUGCAGAGGUUACCAGCAGCAUCCUCACUCACUUUGUGUGAAGAAAAGGAACUCCAACAUUACAUAAAAAAAAAAAAAAAAAAAAAAAAAAAAAGGAGAGUGGGUGGGAGGAGGACAGAAUCCUGCUUUCUCCUUGAACAACAAAACUCUUGAACUCUUGACUCCAGGCAAAAGGAAACUGAAGUCACUGAAUUUUGAAGUCACUCUGGAAGAUGAUGUGCAGUGCUGUGGUCCCACAGUGAGGGGAGGGUGUCCCUAAGCACACAGCCACACCAGGGCACAGCUAGGGCAAUUCCCUGGGCUUUUCCAUAUGAAGGUUCAUUUUGUUAUAAAUAACCACCAUUUUAAUAAUAAAUUACUGCCCUCUGGAAGUCCCA